rnacentral:rRNA from 1 species
UACGUAGGUGGCGAGCGUUGUCCGGAUUUAUUGGGCGUAAAGCGCGCGCAGGCGGUCGCGUAAGUCUGCUGUGAAAUCUCCCUGGCUCAACCGGGAGGGGGCGGCGGAGACUGCGGGACUGGAGGGACCUAGAGGCCGGUGGAAUUCCCGGUGUAGUGGUGAAAUGCGUAGAGAUCGGGAGGAACACCUGUGGCGAAGGCGGCCGGCUGGGGGUGCCCUGACGCUGAGGCGCGAAGGCCAGGGGAGCAAACGGG